rnacentral:rRNA from 1 species
UACAGAGGGUGCGAGCGUUAAUCGGAAUUACUGGGCGUAAAGGGCACGUAGGUGGUCUGUUAAGUUGUAUGUGAAAUACCCGAGCUUAACUUGGGAACUGCAUGCAAAACUGGCUAACUAGAGUAUGGUAGAGGGUAGUGGAAUUUCCGGUGUAGCGGUGAAAUGCGUAGAUAUCGGAAGGAACACCAGUGGCGAAGGCGGCUAUCUGGACCAAUACUGACGCUGAGGUGCGAAAGCGUGGGGAGCAAACAGG